GCAUCUUUAGUUUUGUAAGAAACUGCCAUGCUCUUUUCCAGGAUGACUAUAUCAUUAUACAGUCCCGUCAGCAAUGCACGAGUGGUCCAGUUUCUUAGUAUUUUUGCUGGAAUCUAGGGCCCUAUCUAGGGAAGACUCUCUAGUCUACAAGCUGGGUAAGGAAGGGAGCUGCUGACUGCUCAGCUGCACUCACCUGGAAUUUAGCCUCUGUAACAUGGAACUGGAGAAAGGAUGAGAAAUGAUGGUGGACUGCCCCUCCUGGGGAGAUAAAGGGAGAAGGAGUCACAUGUACUUGACGGUACCCAUCCGAAGUGAAGUUUCUGUUUCACUGAGGCCGGGUGACACAGUAAGAAGUCCCUCAUCAGAUGCUGGCGCCCUGAUCUUAGACUUCCCUGCCUCCAGACUAGGUGGAAGAUGGUUAAAUAUGGUCCCAAAUUUCUACCACCCUAGAAAGUGACAAUGCUACUCACCCAAUCAAGAGAGAAAAGAUCUUUCCUGAAAGUCAUAUGGAGCUGAGUGAGGCAGAAGCUAUUAUUGCCCAAGUCCAUGAGGUCGGUCAGCCGUGGAGACGAAGACCCUUUUACUACUAGAGUCCAAUCAGCAGAUAUUGGUAAAAUUUGUCUCUUCCAGAAUCAAACUGUAAAACCACAAAUGGUUCUUCAGAUGGAGCCCCAGAUGCAGUACAUGACUAAGAUCUACCAUGGACCCCUGGACCAGCCUGCUAGCCCAUGCUCCGAUGUUGAUGACAUCGAAGGCACCUCUCCAGAGGAAAUCUCAACUGCAUGUCCCCUACUAUGCCCCAAUUCAGCAGGAAGCAGUUAGAGCGGUCAUCAGCCAACCUCCCCAACAGCACUUGGGUUUUUCUAUUGAGAAGGGGAACUGAGAGACAGGACUAACUGGAUUUCCUAGGCUGACUAAGAAUUCCUAAGCCUAGCUGGGAAAGGUGACAGCACCCACCUUUAAACACAGGGCUUGUAACUCAGCUCACACCCGACCAAUCGGUAGUAAAGAGGGCUAGCUAAAAUACCAAUUAGGCUAAAAGCAGGAGGUGAAGAAAUAGUCAAAUCAUGUAUUGCCUGAGAGCACAGAGGGAGGGACAAUGAUUGGGAUAUAAACCCAGGCAUCUGAACCAGCAGUGGAAACCCCCUUUUGGAUCUCCUCCCAUUGUAUGGGAGCUCUGUUUCCACUCUAUUAAAUCUUGCAACUGCAAAAAUAAAUAAAUAAAUAAAA